rnacentral:pre_miRNA from 1 species
AAAAAGACAAACCCUGGGUUUCCGUGUCCAACGUUUGACCGUCCGUCUUAUUUGAAAAAAAUUAUGAAAAAAAAUAAAAAGACAAGUCACGCAUAAAGUAUUAAUCAUGUUUUAUCAUCUAAUAACAAUGAAAAUACUAAUUAUAAAAAAAUUUCAUAUAAGACGAAUAGUCAAAUGUUAGACACGGAAACCUAGGAUUUGUCUUUUU